rnacentral:rRNA from 1 species
GACGAACGCUGGCGGCGUGCUUAACACAUGCAAGUCGAACGAAGAGCGAUGGAAGCUUGCUUCUAUCAAUCUUAGUGGCGAACGUGUGAGUAACGCGUAAUCAACCUGCCCUUCAGAGGGGGACAACAGUUGGAAACGACUGCUAAUACCGCAUACGAUCUAAUCUCGGCAUCGAGGAUAGAUGAAAGGUGGCCUCUACAUGUAAGCUAUCACUGAAGGAGGGGAUUGCGUCUGAUUAGCUAGUUGGAGGGGUAACGGCCCACCAAGGCGAUGAUCAGUAGCCGGUCUGAGAGGAUGAACGGCCACAUUGGGACUGGGACACGGCCCAGACUCCUACGGGAGGCAGCAGUGGGGAAUCUUCCGCAAUGGACGAAAGUCUGACGGAGCAACGCCGCGUGAGCGAUGACGGCCUUCGGGUUGUAAAGCUCUGUUAAUCGGGACGAAAGGCCUUCUUGCGAAUAGUGAGAAGGAUUGACGGUACCGGAAUAGAAAGCCACGGCUAACUACGUG